rnacentral:rRNA from 1 species
UACGAAGGGGGCUAGCGUUGUUCGGAAUCACUGGGCGUAAAGCGCGUGUAGGCGGAUAUGCAAGCAAGAGGUGAAAGCCCAGGGCUUAACCUUGGAACUGCCUUUUGAACUGCAUAUCUGGAGUUUUGGAGGGGAGUGUGGAAUUCCUAAUGUAGAGGUGAAAUUCGUAGAGAUUAGGAGGAACACCGGUGGCGAAGGCGGCACUCUGGACAAAUACUGACGCUGAGACGCGAAAGCGUGGGGAGCAAACAGG